AGCUAAGCUGGUAAAGAAUCCGCCUGCAAUGCGGGAGGCCUGGGUUCAAUCCCAG
rnacentral:tRNA from 1 species